AUGUUUAUGUUCAGGAGAAGGACUAAUUUGAACUCUGACCUCUUAUUAUGUAUAUGAUGAACUAGUCUGCGACUGCAAGUAUUUGUUUAUUGUUGCCAUUGGUUACUGGGAAUUUCCACCUUCUCCUGAACUAACAAAGUUGGGUUUACAAUGACGAGUUUUCUCCCUCUUUUGCUGUUUUCUUAUCAAAUACCCUGAUGCAUCAACUGUCAAUUUGCAUAAUUAAUUAGAUUUUUAACAAGAUGGUCACCUGUUGUUUGUAACAUCAAUGUUUUUGUUAGUUGCAUCUUUUUCAAGUUGUGCUUAUUAAAGAUUCGCAGCAAGAUGGAGAGAAAACUUACCGGUAUAGGCAUAUUAAUUUAAUCAUGAAGUUGAUGGGAACAUAUUCACACACAAUACACGUACAAUUUUUCCACAUGGCUUCAAUUAAAGUGCUAAUAUGACGUUACAGAAACUGUUGAUGCUUGUAUAUUUAUUUUUUGUUUAGUCUGUAAGAUGUGAUAGAGAGAACAUGUAAUGCAUAUGGUGAGGUCUUACUUCUAAGACAACUUGAUCACUCGAUGUAUGCCUUCUUUUAUUAAUUUGUUGUCUUCGGAGUCUGGUGUGUUGGCGAAUAACUAAAGUCGGAUUUUUGUAUUUUCACAUUUUCCGUUGUUUAUCUUUUUGAAAAAUCAACACUCAUAAAGUGAAAAAAUUACAAAGAACAAUAUUAUUAAUUUCAAAUAAAUUGUUCAUUUUAAGUUAUUUUAUUCAACUCUUGACAAGUUAAAAUUAUGUAGCAAUCUGAUAAAAGUGUAGAAUUAUUUGCUUGGGUUACUUCCCUUUGUGAAGAUCAAAUUGACUAUAUCUUUGUUGUUAGCUGACACAACCAGAAUAUAGAAGAUAACAGUAAUAUAUAACAUUUCUUUAUAAUGAAUGUAUAAAUGAAAUAUAUUUAAGUUAUCAGAACUCCCAAUAGAUUUUUAAUUCAUUCCAGACAAGUCUGUCUUACAAUCGACCGUUAACAAUGUAUAUUUUUUGUUUUUCGCUCGGUCUCUCACACACACUGUACUGCAUGUGUUUUAUUAUAAUUUUUUUUUUUGUAUCUGUGGCAUUCUGAGUGAGAAACUGAGGAUUUGGGGCAGAGAAUUUAUUACAUGUGUGACAUGAAUGCGAGACAAUUAUUCAAACAUUGAAAUAAACAUAUGAAAUAUUG
rnacentral:sRNA from 1 species